rnacentral:lncRNA from 1 species
AUGCCUCUGCUCUGGGAAAUAAGAAGCAGCCGCCGCCCCCCCAAACAAGUGGCACGCCCGCCAAAAGGCAGGCGAGCGCCGCUCCAGGGACUGGGGCGCCCGCAGCCGAGGACCGGGAGUGAGCCUGCUGCUGGGAAGGAUGGGGAAGGGGGACGCGAGGCCAGCCGACCCCCACGCUCGGGCGGAUGGCGGGCAACUCACUACUCACUCACCCGAGGAAACCGAGGAGCCGGACAAGCUGGAGUUGCUGGACGCUGCCAUCAUCCCCCGCUUUCUCUCCUCCACGGCCGCCCCUCUUUAGCUUCUGAGCCAGAUGUGGGCGCCGCAGCCACUGCUGCUGUCCGGGCGCCGCCGCUGCUGCCGCCGCCGCCGCCGCUGCCCCCAGCCCAUGGCAAAGUCCCGGGGACGCAGAGCGCGAAGCGGCCGCCUACUCCCAGCCUCCCUAGCCAGCCAGCCAGCCAGCCAGCCCAGCGCUUCGUCCCCCCCCCCCCCCCCUCCGGGACGGGGCUGCACUUCCUGCUCCGCCAGAUGACGCGCGGCCAACGCCGCUAUUUAAGUGCGCUUUCCUGCCCUCGCAGCUCCGUUCCGCACGGCUCUGGGCGGCCCGCCGGAGGUGCCAGCGGAGCCGAGCGGAGCCAAGCAGAGUCGGGAGCCGGGCAGCCAGGCGAGCAGCGCAGCCUGGGUUCCGGCCUCAGCCCGGGUUCUGCUUUAGUUUCUCCAGAGCUUGGUCCCAAGCUCGAGGGGAGCGUCCCCCCGCCCCCACUAUCUCCUCCGCAGCUCCGGGCAGCCCCAGCAGGAGGAGGUGUCACUCCACGCACACACACACCAGACCCUGACAGACAGACAGACAUGAGGCGCAGCCCCCCUCCCUCCCCUCGUCCCGCCUCCCCCACUCCACGCGCCCACACAAAGGAACCGGGAAGGCGCGGCGGCGGCGGCGGCGGCAGCAGCUGCUCGCUAGACAGCUCUCCCGGUUGCAGCCCGAGGCGGCGCUGGCUCGGCUGGAUAGGCUGGGCCCGAGGGAGCGGAGCCGGGAGUGAGCCCGCCGGGCCAAGCCUUCGGCACUCCGGGGCCCCGGGCAGGGCAACGCCUGUGCCAGAAGCGACUUGGUUUCGGGGGUGGGGGUGGGGGUGGCUGGCGUUACCGAGGGAGUUGCCGCCGGGGCCAGGGGCCAGAGUCCAGCGAGGCAAACGGGCGCUAGGCUGCCCAGAGUUCUUUGCCCCCCCUGGAGGCUGGCCACCGGGUCUCAGCCCUGCCAGAGCGCGGCUUCCCCGGGUCGGUCAGACCCAGGACAGCGCUCUAAAGGGGGGCUCCAGGCGCCGCCGCCUGCGCCCUGACCCCGAAGCCGGGACAGGACCUACCUAA